GGGGAUGUAGCUCAGUGGUAGAGCGCUUGCUUUGCAUGUAAGAGGCCCUGGGUUCAAGCCCCAGCAUCUCCA
rnacentral:tRNA from 1 species